AUGGACAGGCUCUUUUCCUUUCUGCUGCUGGUGCUUACAGUCCCUGCAUGGGUCAUAUCCCAGAUCACCCUGAAGGAAUCUGGUCCUGGGAUUCUGCGACCAACUGAGACUCUCAGGCUGACCUGCUCCUUCUCUGGCUUCUCACUGAGCACAUAUGGUAUAGGUGUAAACUGGAUCUGUCAGCCCCCAGGGAAGGGCCUGGAGUGGCUGGCAAUCAUUUAUUGGGAUGAUGAUGAAUACUACAGCCCAGCCCUGAAGAGCCGGCUCUCCAUCUCCAAGGACACCUCCAACAACCAGGUGUUCCUCACGAUGAGCAGUGUGGACCCUGUUGACACAGCCACGUAUUACUCUGCAAGAAGAACACAGAGGCUCAGCCUCAGGAUCAUCCUGUACAAGAUCUCUCUUCAAUACCCUCCCUAG